rnacentral:rRNA from 1 species
AGAGUUUGAUCCUGGCUCAGAUUGAACGCUGGCGGCAUGCCUUACACAUGCAAGUCGAACGGCAGCACGAGAGCUUGCUCUUGGUGGCGAGUGGCGAACGGGUGAGUAAUAUAUCGGAACGUACCCUAGAGUGGGGGAUAACGUAGCGAAAGUUACGCUAAUACCGCAUACGAUCUACGGAUGAAAGUGGGGGAUCGCAAGACCUCAUGCUCAUGGAGCGGCCGAUAUCUGAUUAGCUAGUUGGUGGGGUAAAAGCACACCAAGGCGACGAUCAGUAGCUGGUCUGAGAGGACGACCAGCCACACUGGAACUGAGACACGGUCCAGACUCCUACGGGAGGCAGCAGUGGGGAAUUUUGGACAAUGGGCGCAAGCCUGAUCCAGCAAUGCCGCGUGAGUGAAGAAGGCCUUCGGGUUGUAAAGCUCUUUUGUCAGGGAAGAAACGGUGGACUCUAAUACAGAUCACUAAUGACGGUACCUGAAGAAUAAGCACCGGCUAACUACGUGCCAGCAGCCGCGGUAAUACGUAGGGUGCAAGCGUUAAUCGGAAUUACUGGGCGUAAAGCGUGCGCAGGCGGUUGUGCAAGACAGAUGUGAAAUCCCCGGGCUCAACCUGGGAAUUGCAUUUGUGACUGCACGGCUAGAGUGUGUCAGAGGGGGGUAGAAUUCCACGUGUAGCAGUGAAAUGCGUAGAGAUGUGGAGGAAUACCGAUGGCGAAGGCAGCCCCCUGGGAUAACACCGACGCUCAUGCACGAAAGCGUGGGGAGCAAACAGGAUUAGAUACCCUGGUAGUCCACGCCCUAAACGAUGUCUACUAGUUGUCGGGUCUUAAUUGACUUGGUAACGCAGCUAACGCGUGAAGUAGACCGCCUGGGGAGUACGGUCGCAAGAUUAAAACUCAAAGGAAUUGACGGGGACCCGCACAAGCGGUGGAUGAUGUGGAUUAAUUCGAUGCAACGCGAAAAACCUUACCUACCCUUGACAUGUCUGGAAUCCUUGAGAGAUCAGGGAGUGCUCGAAAGAGAAUCAGAACACAGGUGCUGCAUGGCUGUCGUCAGCUCGUGUCGUGAGAUGUUGGGUUAAGUCCCGCAACGAGCGCAACCCUUGUCAUUAGUUGCUACGAAAGGGCACUCUAAUGGGACUGCCGGUGACAAACCGGAGGAAGGUGGGGAUGACGUCAAGUCCUCAUGGCCCUUAUGGGUAGGGCUUCACACGUCAUACAAUGGUACAUACAGAGGGCCGCCAACCCGCGAGGGGGAGCUAAUCCCAGAAAGUGUAUCGUAGUCCGGAUUGUAGUCUGCAACUCGACUACAUGAAGUUGGAAUCGCUAGUAAUCGCGGAUCAGCAUGUCGCGGUGAAUACGUUCCCGGGUCUUGUACACACCGCCCGUCACACCAUGGGAGCGGGUUUCACCAGAAGUGGGUAGCCUAACCGCAAGGAGGGCGCUCACCACGGUGGGAUUCGUGACUGGGGUGAAGUCGUAACAAGGUA